rnacentral:rRNA from 1 species
AUUGAACGCUGGCGGCAUGCCUUACACAUGCAAGUCGAACGGCAGCACGGGAGCAAUCCUGGUGGCGAGUGGCGAACGGGUGAGUAAUGUAUCGGAACGUGCCCAGUCGUGGGGGAUAACGUAGCGAAAGCUACGCUAAUACCGCAUACGAUCUAUGGAUGAAAGCGGGGGACCGUAAGGCCUCGCGCGAUUGGAGCGGCCGAUAUCAGAUUAGGUAGUUGGUGGGGUAAAGGCCUACCAAGCCGACGAUCUGUAGCUGGUCUGAGAGGACGACCAGCCACACUGGGACUGAGACACGGCCCAGACUCCUACGGGAGGCAGCAGCGGGGAAUUUUGGACAAUGGGCGCAAGCCUGAUCCAGCAAUGCCGCGUGCAGGAUGAGGGCCUUCGGGUUGUAAACUGCUUUUGUACGGAGCGAAAAGGCUCUCUCUAAUACAGGGGGCUCAUGACGGUACCGUAAGAAUAAGCACCGGCUAACUACGUGCCAGCCGCCGCGGUAA